rnacentral:rRNA from 1 species
GAUGAACGCUAGCGGCAGGCUUAAUACAUGCAAGUCGUGGGGCAGCAUGAGUAGCAAUACUUGAUGGCGACCGGCAAACGGGUGAGGAACACGUACACAACCUUCCUUCAAGCGGGGAAUAGCCCAGAGAAAUUUGGAUUAAUACCCCAUAAUAUAUUUGAUAAGGCAUCUUAUUAAUAUUAAAGCUUCGGCACUUGAUGAUGGGUGUGCGGCUGAUUAGAUAGUUGGCGGGUAACGGCCCACCAAGUCUACGAUCAGUAGCUGAUGUGAGAGCAUGAUCAGCCACACGGGCACUGAGACACGGGCCCGACUCCUACGGGAGCAGCAGUAAGGAUAUUGGACAAUGGACGAAAGUCUGAUCCAGCCAUGCCGCGUGAAAGGAUUAAGGUCCUCUGGAUUGUAAACUCUUUAUAUGGGACGAAAAAGGGCAUUCUUGUUCACUUGACGGUACCAUAUGAAUAAGCACCGGCU